UCAAAAUUCAAUAUUAUUAUUGUUUGUAAUAUCAUGAUAAAUUCGAUAUUAUUGUAGUUUGUAAUACCACGCCCGAUGUCCUAAACAAAUCACAUACACGUGUCGUAUAUCAUUAUAUGGUGACAUAUAUUUAUAAGGGGAAUAGAUACCGGAAAUGCAUCCAGGAGUUGAAGAUCGCGAGAGUGCUCGUUCUAAUUGUACGCGUAAUGAAGGUGCGAUCGUAGUCGAAGGCGAAAUCACCGUGUACACGACAACGCACUGGCAGUCCAUUCCUUCUCCAUUUCGAUGUCUCGAUAAAUUAAUUUGGAAUAAAAUUAUAAACACUUCUGAAAAGUUAGAAAUUCAUAUAGUAAACGAAAGAAGAUUGCUAGCGGACAUCGCUCUGGAGAAACAAAGGACGAUGAACUUGAAAGGACGCUAUGAAUAUCGAUUCGGUGUUUACAUAUUGGCUCAUGCGCUUUGCUUGCAAUUUCUCGAUAAACAUAUUUCAAAAGCAGAGAAUAAAUUCUCUUAUAUCGCAAUAUUUUUUUAAUAUAUCAAAAAAAAAAAUAGAGUGCAAUUUGUUGGAAUAUAAAAUAACUUGAUAUAUAAAAAAAAAAUAGAAUUAUUUGUAAAUUUAUUUGAAUUGAUUAAUAAAAAUUUGUAUGAUUCAUGACUGCCCACUAAUGUAAUGAUAUAAUCCAUUAAUGGAAUAACUUUGAAAUCAAAUUUUUUUAGCACAGACUUUAAAACCGAUGUCUAUAUGAAAAACAACGGUUGAUCAAACUGUGCAUUUUAAAUUGAAGAAAAAUGAGAGUUCAAAAACUGGAAUCGAACCCACAAUAUCUAGAUUGAUAAGUUUAAUCUCUAUGCUCAUCGCCAGCUCCUAAUUUUAAUUGAUAUUGCAUUAAAUUUAUUUCACAUUUAUAUUGUGAUAAAAAUAUUAUUAAAAAUAGAACGUAUUAAU